GGCUUCUCCUAAAAUAUCUCCAGACUCUAGCUUUUCUGGUGGAGCAACUUUUCUGGUGGAGUUGAGGUCAUUUUAGAAAAAUAUUUGUCAUAACGGCUUCUCCUAUUUCUUCUGAAUAAUGUGAGGGUCAAAUGUAUAUUGCACCCCUCCCUAUUUUCACUUUAUUGUACACACAAUUUUAUAUGUUCCCGCAAUUUAUAAUAUCAUUGCAUGCGGAAAUUAAAAAAGGAUUAAUAAGUAAUGGAUACAAUUAUAGAUUACUAAUUAUUUCUUUUUCUAUUUUUAUGGUUCUCUCUUCCCCUUGUUUCUUUCCUCCUUAUCCGCUACUCACUCCCAUCCUCAUCCUUCCUCCACCCAAUAGCACACCAUGUCCCUCCUUCCUC
rnacentral:lncRNA from 1 species